GGAAGGGCUGUAGCUCAGUGGUAUGAGCAUCUGCUUUGCAUGCAGAAGGCAACAGGUUCAAUCCCCAGCCUCUCCA